rnacentral:rRNA from 1 species
GGUUAAGCGACUAAGCGUACACGGUGGAUGCCCUGGCAGUCAGAGGCGAUGAAGGACGUGCUAAUCUGCGAUAAGCGUCGGUAAGGUGAUAUGAACCGUUAUAACCGGCGAUUUCCGAAUGGGGAAACCCAGUGUGUUUCGACACACUAUCAUUAACUGAAUCCAUAGGUUAAUGAGGCGAACCGGGGGAACUGAAACAUCUAAGUACCCCGAGGAAAAGAAAUCAACCGAGAUUCCCCCAGUAGCGGCGAGCGAACGGGGAGCAGCCCAGAGCCUGAAUCAGUGUGUGUGUUAGUGGAAGCGUCUGGAAAGGCGCGCGAUACAGGGUGACAGCCCCGUACACAAAAAUGCACAUGCUGUGAGCUCGAUGAGUAGGGCGGGACACGUGGUAUCCUGUCUGAAUAUGGGGGGACCAUCCUCCAAGGCUAAAUACUCCUGACUGACCGAUAGUGAACCAGUACCGUGAGGGAAAGGCGAAAAGAACCCCGGCGAGGGGAGUGAAAAAGAACCUGAAACCGUGUACGUACAAGCAGUGGGAGCACGCUUAGGCGUGUGACUGCGUACCUUUUGUAUAAUGGGUCAGCGACUUAUAUUCUGUAGCAAGGUUAACCGAAUAGGGGAGCCGAAGGGAAACCGAGUCUUAACUGGGCGUUAAGUUGCAGGGUAUAGACCCGAAACCCGGUGAUCUAGCCAUGGGCAGGUUGAAGGUUGGGUAACACUAACUGGAGGACCGAACCGACUAAUGUUGAAAAAUUAGCGGAUGACUUGUGGCUGGGGGUGAAAGGCCAAUCAAACCGGGAGAUAGCUGGUUCUCCCCGAAAGCUAUUUAGGUAGCGCCUCGUGAAUUCAUCUCCGGGGGUAGAGCACUGUUUCGGCAAGGGGGUCAUCCCGACUUACCAACCCGAUGCAAACUGCGAAUACCGGAGAAUGUUAUCACGGGAGACACACGGCGGGUGCUAACGUCCGUCGUGAAGAGGGAAACAACCCAGACCGCCAGCUAAGGUCCCAAAGUCAUGGUUAAGUGGGAAACGAUGUGGGAAGGCCCAGACAGCCAGGAUGUUGGCUUAGAAGCAGCCAUCAUUUAAAGAAAGCGUAAUAGCUCACUGGUCGAGUCGGCCUGCGCGGAAGAUGUAACGGGGCUAAACCAUGCACCGAAGCUGCGGCAGCGACACUAUGUGUUGUUGGGUAGGGGAGCGUUCUGUAAGCCUGUGAAGGUGUACUGUGAGGUAUGCUGGAGGUAUCAGAAGUGCGAAUGCUGACAUAAGUAACGAUAAAGCGGGUGAAAAGCCCGCUCGCCGGAAGACCAAGGGUUCCUGUCCAACGUUAAUCGGGGCAGGGUGAGUCGACCCCUAAGGCGAGGCCGAAAGGCGUAGUCGAUGGGAAACAGGUUAAUAUUCCUGUACUUGGUGUUACUGCGAAGGGGGGACGGAGAAGGCUAUGUUGGCCGGGCGACGGUUGUCCCGGUUUAAGCGUGUAGGCUGGUUUUCCAGGCAAAUCCGGAAAAUCAAGGCUGAGGCGUGAUGACGAGGCACUACGGUGCUGAAGCAACAAAUGCCCUGCUUCCAGGAAAAGCCUCUAAGCAUCAGGUAACAUCAAAUCGUACCCCAAACCGACACAGGUGGUCAGGUAGAGAAUACCAAGGCGCUUGAGAGAACUCGGGUGAAGGAACUAGGCAAAAUGGUGCCGUAACUUCGGGAGAAGGCACGCUGAUAUGUAGGUGAAGUCCCUCGCGGAUGGAGCUGAAAUCAGUCGAAGAUACCAGCUGGCUGCAACUGUUUAUUAAAAACACAGCACUGUGCAAACACGAAAGUGGACGUAUACGGUGUGACGCCUGCCCGGUGCCGGAAGGUUAAUUGAUGGGGUUAGCGCAAGCGAAGCUCUUGAUCGAAGCCCCGGUAAACGGCGGCCGUAACUAUAACGGUCCUAAGGUAGCGAAAUUCCUUGUCGGGUAAGUUCCGACCUGCACGAAUGGCGUAAUGAUGGCCAGGCUGUCUCCACCCGAGACUCAGUGAAAUUGAACUCGCUGUGAAGAUGCAGUGUACCCGCGGCAAGACGGAAAGACCCCGUGAACCUUUACUAUAGCUUGACACUGAACAUUGAGCCUUGAUGUGUAGGAUAGGUGGGAGGCUUAGAAGUGUGGACGCCAGUCUGCAUGGAGCCGACCUUGAAAUACCACCCUUUAAUGUUUGAUGUUCUAACGUUGACCCGUAAUCCGGGUUGCGGACAGUGUCUGGUGGGUAGUUUGACUGGGGCGGUCUCCUCCUAAAGAGUAACGGAGGAGCACGAAGGUUGGCUAAUCCUGGUCGGACAUCAGGAGGUUAGUGCAAUGGCAUAAGCCAGCUUGACUGCGAGCGUGACGGCGCGAGCAGGUGCGAAAGCAGGUCAUAGUGAUCCGGUGGUUCUGAAUGGAAGGGCCAUCGCUCAACGGAUAAAAGGUACUCCGGGGAUAACAGGCUGAUACCGCCCAAGAGUUCAUAUCGACGGCGGUGUUUGGCACCUCGAUGUCGGCUCAUCACAUCCUGGGGCUGAAGUAGGUCCCAAGGGUAUGGCUGUUCGCCAUUUAAAGUGGUACGCGAGCUGGGUUUAGAACGUCGUGAGACAGUUCGGUCCCUAUCUGCCGUGGGCGCUGGAGAACUGAGGGGGGCUGCUCCUAGUACGAGAGGACCGGAGUGGACGCAUCACUGGUGUUCGGGUUGUCAUGCCAAUGGCACUGCCCGGUAGCUAAAUGCGGAAGAGAUAAGUGCUGAAAGCAUCUAAGCACGAAACUUGCCCCGAGAUGAGUUCUCCCUGACUCCUUGAGAGUCCUGAAGGAACGUUGAAGACGACGACGUUGAUAGGCCGGGUGUGUAAGCGCAGCGAUGCGUUGAGCUAACCGGUACUAAUGAACCGUGAGGCUUAACCUU